CCUACGGGAGGCAGCAGUGGGGAAUAUUGCGCAAUGGGCGAAAGCCUGACGCAGCGACGCCGCGUGAGGGAUGAAGGUCUUCGGAUCGUAAACCUCUGUCAGCAGGGAAGAACGGUCACUGUGCUAAUCAGCAGUGAAUUGACGGUACCUGCAAAGGAAGCACCGGCUAACUCCGUGCCAGCAGCCGCGGUAAUACGGAGGGUGCGAGCGUUAAUCGGAAUUACUGGGCGUAAAGCGCUCGUAGGCGGUAUGUCAAGUCAAGGGGGAAAUCCCCGCGCUCAACGUGGGAACUGCCUUUGAAACUGGCAAACUGGAGCGUGUGAGAGGAUAGUGGAAUUCCAGGUGUAGGAGUGAAAUCCGUAGAUAUCUGGAGGAACAUCAGUGGCGAAGGCGACUAUCUGGCACAUAACUGACGCUGAGGAGCGAAAGCGUGGGUAGCAAACAGGAUGAGAUACCCCUGUAGUC
rnacentral:rRNA from 1 species